rnacentral:lncRNA from 1 species
AGGCUGGUAGGCGUGUUGUUGUGGACGAUGUUGUUGUUGAUAUUGUUGAUGUUGUUGUUGAUGAUGUUGAUAAUGUUGAGCUUCCCUGAAGGCAGGUGCUAUAUGAGCCACCUGAUGCUGGUUACUGGCAGGGCAAAUAGUCUUCCUCUUCACAGAGGGUCUUCUCUUGGUAUGGGAAGACACAUCAUGUGCCUCUCCCUCUU